AAGGUGGACUACUAGAGGAACAG
rnacentral:siRNA from 1 species